rnacentral:rRNA from 1 species
CGGCGGACGGGUGAGUAACGCGUGGGUAACCUACCCUGUACACACGGAUAACAUACCGAAAGGUAUGCUAAUACGGGAUAAUAUAUUUGAGAGGCAUCUCUUGAAUAUCAAAGGUGAGCCAGUACAGGAUGGACCCGCGUCUGAUUAGCUAGUUGGUAAGGUAACGGCUUACCAAGGCGACGAUCAGUAGCCAACCUGAGAGGGUGAUCGGCCACAUUGGAACUGAGACACGGUCCAA